rnacentral:rRNA from 1 species
GCAUCGAUGAAGAACGCAGCGAAAUGCGAUAAGUAAUGUGAAUUGCAGAAUUCAGUGAAUCAUCGAAUCUUUGAACGCACCUUGCGCUCCAUGGUAUUCCGUGGAGCAUGCCUGUUUGAGUGUCAUGAAUACUUCAACCCUCCUCUUUCUUAAUGAUUGAAGAGGUGUUUGGUUUCUGAGCGCUGCUGGCCUUUACGGUCUAGCUCGUUCGUAAUGCAUUAGCAUCCGCAAUCGAACUUCGGAUUGACUUGGCGUAAUAGACUAUUCGCUGAGGAAUUCUAGUCUUCGGAUUAGAGCCGGGUUGGGUUAAAGGAAGCUUCUAAUCAGAAUGUCUACAUUUUAAGAUUAGAUCUCAAAUCAGGUAGGACUACCCGCUGAACUUAAGCAUAUCAAUAAGCGGAGG